AUUGAACGCUGGCGGCAGGCCUAACACAUGCAAGUCGAACGGUAACAGGAAGCAGCUUGCUGCUUUGCUGACGAGUGGCGGACGGGUGAGUAAUGUCUGGGAAACUGCCCGAUGGAGGGGGAUAACUACUGGAAACGGUAGCUAAUACCGCAUAACGUCGCAAGACCAAAGAGGGGGACCUUAGGGCCUCUUGCCAUCGGAUGUGCCCAGAUGGGAUUAGCUAGUAGGUGGGGUAACGGCUCACCUAGGCGACGAUCCCUAGCUGGUCUGAGAGGAUGACCAGCCACACUGGAACUGAGACACGGUCCAGACUCCUACGGGAGGCAGCAGUGGGGAAUAUUGGACAAUGGGCGCAAGCCUGAUGCAGCCAAGCCGCGUGUAUGAAGAAGGCCUUCGGGUUGUAAAGUACUUUCAGCGGGGAGGAAGGGAGUAAAGUUAAUACCUUUGCUCAUUGACGUUACCCGCAGAAGAAGCACCGGCUAACUCCGUG
rnacentral:rRNA from 1 species